rnacentral:misc_RNA from 1 species
GAUGAAGAACGUAGCGAAAUGCGAUACUUGGUGUGAAUUGCAGAAUCCCGUGAACCAUCGAGUCUUUGAACGCAAGUUGCGCCCGAAGCCAUCAGGUUGAGGGCACGUCUGCCUGGGCGUCACAUAUCGUUGCCCAAUGCCUAUUGCAGUGCAAUAGGAAUUUCUAGGGCGAAUGAUGGCUUCCCGUGAGCGUUGUUGCCUCGCGGUUGGUUGAAAAUCGAGUCCUUGGUAGGGUGUGCCAUGGUAGAUGGUGGUCGAGUUAGAACGAUACCGAUCAUGUGCAUGCUCCCCAAAAUAUGGCCUCUAUGACCCACACGCGUCUUUUGUCGCUCAUGACGAGACCUCAGGUCAGGCGGGGCUACCCGCUGAAUUUAAGCAUAUCAAUAAGCGGAGGA